rnacentral:rRNA from 1 species
GUGGGGAAUUUUGGACAAUGGGCGCAAGCCUGAUCCAGCAAUGCCGCGUGCAGGAAGAAGGCCUUCGGGUUGUAAACUGCUUUUGUACGGAACGAAACGGUCCUGGCUAAUAUCCGGGGCUAAUGACGGUACCGUAAGAAUAAGCACCGGCUAACUACGUGCCAGCAGUCGCGGUAAUACGUAGGGUGCGAGCGUUAAUCGGAAUUACUGGGCGUAAAGCGUGCGCAGGCGGUGCUGUAAGACAGGCGUGAAAUCCCCGGGCUCAACCUGGGAAUUGCGCUUGUGACUGCAGUGCUGGAGUGCGGCAGAGGGGGAUGGAAUUCCGCGUGUAGCAGUGAAAUGCGUAGAUAUGCGGAGGAACACCGAUGGCGAAGGCAAUCCCCUGGGCCUGCACUGACGCUCAUGCACGAAAGCGUGGGGAGCAAACAGGAUUAGAAACCCUUGUAGUCC